AAAAAUAAGAUCAAAAAUUAAACUAGUUGCAGUAGCACGCUAUGUCUGGCUUGGAAGGGGCCAUACAGGCCCUACAGGGCUCGCCCACCCCCAAGGCCUUGGUGAAGGCCCUGAUCUGCAUUCGCCAUGAAGUGGACUGGCCCAAAAAGAGACAAAACGUUGUCCUGCUCAGAACUAAGGGCGCCCUGAAGCAAAUAGCUGCGAUUCUACUGGCCACCAACCAGAAAAGCUGCCUGGAUUUGGCGCUGAGCAUCCUGGGCAAUUGCAUGAUGGAGCGGGCAUGCACCAAUGAAUUAGUGACCCAACACGGCAUCCUGUCCAUCCUGAGCCAGCUGCUGAAACGACACGCGAACCAGGACAGUAUCAAUGGAAGGACGUUCCGAAUAGUCGGAAAUAUGUGCCAUCAUCGAGACCAAUGGGCUACGCUCAUGAUUAAUAAAAAGCCCACAAUAGUUUCGCAUAUAGUGAAAGUAGUGCAGGCCGCCUCCAAAGACCAGCUGCCUGAUGGGGAGAAAAUCAGCGAAGCCACCCUGGUGACGGCGCUGAGGGCGCUAAGAGAACUUCAAAACAGCAACACCGUGAAAUGUUUGGUGAAGCAAUUCGGGGCUCUCAAGGCUGUGGGCUCCCUUUUCAUCAAGUACAGCGAGCGAUGGCAGGCGUGCAAGGAAAACGAAAAAACACUGCUGGACAUCAUCCGGGUGAUCCACGAGUAUUCGCGAUUUAGAAACUACGAUUCUAUUCUAGAGUUGAGAAGUACCGAUAGAGGCGACUCGCUGGUGCAUUUGAGCAGCAUCCUGAUUCUGGACCCGCGCAAGAUCGUGAAAAUCGUGAUGAACUUUAUCAAAAGCUGUCAGUUGCAGUCCGAGCUGCCCAUUCCCGAAAUCUGCACCAAAUUUAUCGAAGUUCUAGAGGAGCAUUCCAUUGUGAAGGAGUUUCAGGGCCAGUGCACCGAGUAUUUGCAAUGUCUUUGUUACCUCCUCGACCAUCCAGCCAACCGCAGCCUGGAAAGGUGCGGCCGAGCCAUUCCGUUGCUCAUCAAGGUUCUGAGCGAUUUCGACGAGGCUUCCAAUAACAUUGUGAACUGUUGCAUCAUUCUCAUCCACACUUUGAACAAGUUCAGGUACGAUGAUAAACUGAUUGCUGAGCAGCUGGCCAAUGACAUCAUUCCGGUGCUGGUUGGGAAGCUGGCGUGGCUUGUUGGGCCUCCUGAUGUGGUCAACUUCAAGCACCUCAGCGAGAAGAGGCGCAAAUACACAUUUUCCAAUUCGAGCAUUGUCAAGAAACGGCUGCGUUAUCCUGAUACCUUGAAAGAAUGCGGCAGCAGCCCAAAUUCCAGCGACGAUGAACUGGAAUUUUACCGGAGCUGCAUGAGAAGUCCCAGUCCCGGAUCCAGCUCGGACAGCGACAGCGGAAACGCGCUGUCCUGGAGCGAAGGCGGCAUCAGCCCGAAUCGCUCCCUAGCUCACGAGUCGGACUCAGACGAUUAUUCGCCGGUCUGCAGUGAGGUGGACGAGGCGGAUUUUGGAGCACACGACCACGAUUUCCAGGACUUUGGCGAGCUGGACGAAGUCAAUCCGGCGGUGGAGGAGGCUGGAGAUGCCGCAUCUGAGGACAGCAGGUCGAACGUGCGCCGCUCCCUCCAAGUGUCACUCUGCCAUGAAAUCGUCGCCCUCAUCAGGUCCUACCUCAAAGUGCAGCCCCAUCACCCUCAUCUGGCCAAAGUGGAGCUGGUGAUGCAGCUGACCAAAUGCGCCAUCAAUGAACAGUUCGACGUCAAAGACGUAAUCUGUGAGAUUGUCAAGUGUGGGGAACAUUUGAUAUCCCUGAUGCAGACCAACUACAUCCACACGCUGAACGACAUGCGGAACAUCCCGGCCAAUCACGAGACCUGCUCCCGGUGUCUGUUCAACGCCCAUUUCACCUAUCGCAUUCUGAAGAGUUUCAGCGAAACAGCGGAGUCGGGAGCUGGCAAAGGCGACAUCGCCCAUAAGUUGAUGCGAGGCGACUGGAAGGUCAAGCAGAGCUUGGUGCUGGUGAUUCCCUACAUCAUAGCGAAUAGGUCAAUCCUGGGAAAACUGAUGCUGAACUGCGGCGGCUUGGACGUGCUGAUGAAGCUGCUGCAGGAAAACGACGGUCAAGACAAUCGGCGCAGCCUGAAAGUGCUGGUUCAAAUGGCCCACAGUGUCCUGAUCAACAACCCGAAGUCGCUCUCUGUCCGCACUAUGGGCUGGCCCAAGCUGGCCAUUGGCGAGUAUGAGCUGGCGGAAACUUGCAGCAACGUGGUGUCGUUCCGAUUGGAUGACGGCUGCCUUAUCCCAUCCGACCGCGACUUUCUAGUCAAGCAAUCCGACUUCUUCAAAGGCCUCCUGGAUGGACACUUCAAGGAGAGCGAACAGGCUGAAGUGGCGCUAGCCGAAGUGGAGUCCAAGAGCUUCAAGUGUCUGCUCUUUAUCAUACAGGCGAUCGAGCUGCAGAAGCCAUCCAAAAACAUUGAAAUUGUUCUGGAUCUGGACACUUUGCUUGAUCUUAUCUCGCUAUGCGACCGCUUUCUACUGAGCGAUUUGUGCUUGAUCAUCACAGACACAGUGCAACAGUUUCAUAUUGCGGUGGACACAGUGCCGCUCAUCUACAACUGGAGCGUGGAAUCUGGCACCAACUUGUUGCGGAUCGAAAGCGUGGCUUUCGCCCUAGUGGCCUCAGUCGAUGAUCGUGAACGUUACGCGAUGAUUCAGAAGCUGUUCGCUUUGGGGUACAAGAAGCAGCUGCUGGGCGAUAUCGAUACGUUGCUCAGACGCUAUCUGAGCAUCAGCGACUACAGCCCGCUGCGAAAGUCUCAUGCCAUCAAGCGCGACGCUAUGAGAGAGAUGAAAGAAAGUCUGUUGAAAUAUAGGCAUUGAUCUAUGUUCGCGUGGUUUUAAUGAAUUCCCUGAAACAUAAAGACCGUCAUUGGCACCAGUUAUUAAGCUGGGAGCGCGGCCUUUAUCGGCGCCAAUCCAGAAGUGGCGGGCGGUUGCAAGUUUCCAGGCUCGCCCGCCCACUCGUCCGUGGAGUUUUCCGACGAAACUCUCGGCCCCGCCACCAUUGCGACCUACUCGUGCGAGCGCGGCUUUGAGCUGCUGGGGCCCAGCAGGAGAGUGUGCGAGAACGGCGCCUGGUUACCCGAAGGGAUCCCGUUUUGCGGUAAGUACAGUACUAAG